AAAGUCGUAACAAGGUCUCCGUUGGUGAACCAGCGGAGGGAUCAUUACAGAGUUGCAAAACUCCCAACCCUUUGCGAACGAACUAGACAGUUGCCUCGGCGGGGAGCCCUCCAGGGGGCAGUCCGCCGGAGGACCACUAAACUCUUGCAUUUUGGCCUCUCUGAGUAACUUUACAAUAAGUUAAAACUUUCAACAACGGAUCUCUUGGUUCUG
rnacentral:misc_RNA from 1 species